AUACAGGGGGAGCAAGCGUUGUCCGGAAUUACUGGGCGUAAAGGGCGUGUAGGUGGGCUGGUUAGUCAGAUGUGAAAGCCCGCGGCUUAACCGCGGAACUGCAUUUGAUACUGCCGGUCUUGAGUUCGAGAGAGGGUAGUGGAAUUCCCAGUGUAGCGGUGAAAUGCGUAGAUAUUGGGAAGAACACCAGUAGCGAAGGCGGCUACCUGGCUCGCAACCGACGCUAAUGCGCGAAAGCGUGGGGAGCAAACAGGAUUAGAUACCCCAGUAGUCC
rnacentral:rRNA from 1 species